rnacentral:misc_RNA from 1 species
GUUUGUGAAGCCCUUUUAGAAGGCAAUACCGAUGCACUUGGAACCGAACUUCUAGAAAGUUUAUUAAAGAUGGCUCCUACCAAAGAAGAAGAGCGUAAAUUAAAGGAAUAUAAAGAUGAUUCACCAACCAAGCUUGGUCAUGCUGAGAAAUUCCUCAAGGCUGUGCUUGAUGUACCUUUUGCGUUUAAGAGAGUGGAUGCAAUGCUUUACAUAACCAAUUUUGAGUCUGAGGU